rnacentral:rRNA from 1 species
ACGGAGGGUGCAAGCGUUAUCCGGAAUCACUGGGUUUAAAGGGUGCGUAGGCGGAUGAUUAAGUCAGUGGUGAAAGCUGGUCGCUUAACGAUCAAACUGCCAUUGAUACUGAUUGUCUUGAAUUGGGUUGAGGUUAGCGGAAUGUGACAUGUAGCGGUGAAAUGCAUAGAUAUGUCAUGGAACACCAAUUGCGAAGGCAGCUAACUGGGCCUUGAUUGACGCUGAGGCACGAAAGCGUGGGUAGCGAACAGGAUUAGAUACCCUGGUAGUCCACGCCCUAAACGAUGCUAACUCGAUGUUUGGACAGUAAGUUUGAGCAUCCAAGGGAAACCGAUAAGUUAGCCACCUGGGGAGUACGACCGCAAGGUUG